rnacentral:tRNA from 1 species
GGGGUUGUGGCUCAGUGGUAGAGCGCUUGCCUAGUAUGUGUGAAACCCUGGGUUCGAUUUUCAGCACCA